ACAGAGGGGGCAAGCGUUGUCCGGAGUUACUGGGCGUAAAGCGCACGUAGGCGGUACGGUAAGUAAGGUGUGAAAGCCCCAGGCUUAACCUGGGGAGGUCAUCUUCGACUGCCGCACUCGAGACCUGCAGAGGAUCGUGGAAUUGCCGGUGUAGUGGUGAAAUGCGUAGAGAUCGGCAGGAACACCAAGGGCGAAAGCAGCGAUCUGGGCAGGGACUGACGCUGAGGUGCGAAAGCGUGGGGAGCGAACC
rnacentral:rRNA from 1 species